rnacentral:rRNA from 1 species
ACGGAGGAUGCAAGCGUUAUCCGGAUUCAUUGGGUUUAAAGGGUGCGCAGGCGGAAUGAUAAGUCAGUGGUGAAAUCCUACGGCUCAACUGUAGAACUGCCAUUGAUACUGUCGUUCUUGAGUACACUUGGAGUGGGCGGAAUGUGUCAUGUAGGCGUGUAUAGAUUAGAUAAGGGACGGAAGGCCACUCGAGAGGGCGGAUCAAUAAGCUUUAACUCACGCUGUGUCAGCUGAGGGAGGGGAUAAAAGGG